rnacentral:lncRNA from 1 species
GAGGCGGUUCUCUGAAACACGAACGGCACCGGCAAGGGGACAAACAUGAUCCUCCGUCUUCUCUUCUCUUCUCUAUCACUGACAGUAACAGCGGCAAUAAUAACAAUCUUCCUCUCUUCUCAGUGUCUUCGUCCGCUUUCCAGGUAACAUGGAUUGACUGACAGAUUAUUGUUGAGAAAAAAUGUGAAGAAAUCAAGAAAGAAGAAAUUACAGUUGCCUAACCCAGAGUUCUGCCACAUAUAUGGGCCAGAAUACUGUAUUUUUAUAAAAUAUGUAUGUUUUGCAUUUUCUUAAAAUAUCAUUAUUAAAAUGAUAUGGAAGGGAUUGUGGUGGUUUCCUUUUAUC